rnacentral:rRNA from 1 species
GACGAACCGUGCGAACGUUAUUCGGAAUCACUGGGCUUAAAGCGCGUGUAGGCGGAUGGGGACGUCGGUCGCUGAAAUCCCCCGGCUCAACCGGGGAACGGGCGCCGAAACGCCCCGUCUGGAGGGACGUAGGGGGACCUGGAACUUCCGGUGGAGCGGUGAAAUGCGUUGAGAUCGGAAGGAACGCCCGUGGCGAAAGCGAGGUCCUGGACGUCUACUGACGCUGAGACGCGAAAGCUAGGGGAGCGAACGGG